AGCCCUGUAGUUGAAAUACAAUAAUGAGCUGCAGUCUCACAGGAAGGGGGAAACUCCUCAGGGCUU